rnacentral:sRNA from 1 species
GCUGGGCAUGGUGGCGUAUGCCUGUAAUCCUGGCCACUCUGGAGGCUGAGGUAGGAGGAUCACAAAUUCAAAGCCAGCCUCAUCAAUUUAGUGAGGCCAUAAGAAACUUAGUGUGACCCUGUCUCAA